UACGUAGGGUGCGAGCGUUGUCCGGAAUUACUGGGCGUAAAGAGCUCGUAGGUGGUUUGUCGCGUUGUCCGUGAAAACUCACAGCUCAACUGUGGGCGUGCGGGCGAUACGGGCAGACUGGAGUACUGCAGGGGGAGACUGGAAUUCCUGGUGUAGCGGUGGAAUGCGCAGAUAUCAGGAGGAACACCGGUGGCGAAGGCGGGGUC
rnacentral:rRNA from 1 species